CCUACGGGGGCUGCAGUGGGGAAUAUUGGACAAUGGGCGAAAGCCUGAUCCAGCCAUGCCGCGUGUGUGAAGAAGGCCUUCGGGUUGUAAAGCACUUUCAGUGGGGAAGAAAGCCUUGGGGCUAAUACCCUCGAGGAAGGACAUCACCCACAGAAGAAGCACCGGCUAACUCCGUGCCAGCAGCCGCGGUAAUACGGAGGGUGCGAGCGUUAAUCGGAAUUACUGGGCGUAAAGCGCGCGUAGGCGGUCUGAUAAGCCGGUUGUGAAAGCCCCGGGCUCAACCUGGGAACGGCAUCCGGAACUGUCAGGCUAGAGUGCAGGAGAGGAAGGUAGAAUUCCCGGUGUAGCGGUGAAAUGCGUAGAGAUCGGGAGGAAUACCAGUGGCGAAGGCGGUCUUCUGGACUGACACUGACGCUGAGGUGCGAAAGCGUGGGUAGCAAACAGGAUUAGAUACCCCUGUAGUC
rnacentral:rRNA from 1 species